CAGUCUUAUAUACAGACUAUUUACUAGCUAUUGCUGAAUCACACAACAGAAUUGGUGAACUACGGAGUAGAGGCGUAACUGCAUCGGUGACUAACCAUACGCCCUCAAAGUUCCUUUGGCUGGGGCAAGUUCCAGAGAAGGUGCAAGGCUUGUAUGGGCGAUUGACAGUUGCCGAUAGCGGUUACUGCUCUACAGUCGAGUUGGCCGGGAAGUUGCAGCUUAGUGCUGGUGAUAAAUCUCAUCUGAAGCUAAAUAUGACUUUGAGAUCGAUAGCGAACAAGUACCAAAAGUUACAAAGAACUUCGAAGACUUUAAGAGGGCUUGAAGCCGCUAAGAGGGAAGCAGAUAGAGUUUGCACCAUGAUGAUGGCAUUCAGCAAGUGCUAUUGACACAUCUGAUACACGUUGUGCUUCCGAUAACAACGGACACUGACAUGCAUGUCUAUUGCAUUUAUCAUUGUAUUGGUGUUUUCACCAUCACUAGUAGAAGAUAAUCUUUUGUAUUAAAUGAUAAUGACAUCUAUAUUUAAUACUGUUUACAUGUUGUGCAGAAGAAUACGUCUACGAUUAUUUGCAUACAUUUAUUUUGCAGAAUGUUAAAACAAUUAGCCAGUUUUACUUAAACAGCCUUAUACACGGACUGUUUACCAGAUGUCAUAGACUGAGGCUGAGGUUUCGUUGCUAUAUCACGAACAGUAUUCAAAAAAAUUGCUCAGAAGCAAAGAACGUAUUAAACAAUGCUUAAUGAGAUAUUAAGUUUGACUGUUGCAGUAUGGGCGUAGUCACUUUUUAUACCACGCAACUGUUACACGUAUUGUAAAGAAUUUCUUUCUUUUUAAUAUUGAUUUAGUC
rnacentral:ncRNA from 1 species